rnacentral:rRNA from 1 species
UACGUAGGGGGCUAGCGUUGUCCGGAAUCAUUGGGCGUAAAGCGCGUGUAGGCGGUCCGGUAAGUCCGCUGUGAAAGUCGGGGGCUCAACCCUCGAAUGCCGGUGGAUACUGUCGGGCUAGAGUCCGGAAGAGGAGAGUGGAAUUCCCGGUGUAGCGGUGAAAUGCGCAGAUAUCGGGAAGAACACCCGUGGCUAAGGCGGCUCUCUAGUACGGUACUGACGCUGAGACGCGAAAGCGUGGGGAGCGAACAGG